UUUUUUUCCUUUUUUUGUUUUCCAUACCACUCCUCUCACCACUGCUCUGCCAUCUUUCACAUUCCCUAGCAGGCUGUCUCUGUUUUCUCCCAUCCCCUUUCUUCCCUUUCCCCUUUCUCCACGUUGUUUUCUUCUUCUAGAACUCCCAAGUUUCACAGGAACACCAAGCCAAGGCUCCUUCCAAGCCUCAGACAGAGCAGGUUGUCUCUGCCUCCUCUGGACAGAGCAGGUGGAACAGGUUCACUAAUGUGAUCACUCCUCACAUGGAAGCAACUGUUCUGCCAGAAAAACUUGUAGACUCUUAAAUGAGACCUCUGACAGGUCUCCUUUCAAGGCUUUUAAGUUCCUUGCUCUGUCACUAUUAACUGGAGAAGACGAGUGUUUAAGAUUUUUUUGAGAUUGGUUAGGACAGCUCAUCCUGAGGAGGAAUACAGGCUUAGUUGUAGAAACUGCCAUCCCAGGUUCUGGGGUUUUGUUUCCAGGAGUGAUUGGCUCCAAAUCUUUUAACAGCAGGUAUGGCCAAGUAAACACAGAGUACUCUCUUCUCAUAAAAGACUUGUAGAUUUAGGAUUUUUGUAUUGAUGUUCCUUCUGAAAUCCAUUUUCGCAUUAGCUGUGAUCAUUCGAGGUAAUUUUAUUUCCCCUGGUUUUAAUCUUCAUACCUUCUUGGAUUCUGGUAUCCCACAGCCUUGAGCUGGUCAGAAAUAAGUAUUUCCUUUUAUCAGCUGCAUAUUUGCUACUGCUUUAGUGUCUGGAUUCACCACUUCUUCUUUCAUGACACCAUAAAAUAAAAAAGCCCCUCAUUUACCUUUGCAAGAGCACCAGUAUCUAUAAUUUUGUACUUUCACCACUUCUGUCCUUCCUAGUUGUGAGUUGUCCUUUGAAGCCAGGGCAGAAUCCAUGCUGACCAUCAUGGGCAACCCAGAGUUCUUAGAAGACUUCACCAGGACUCACUCAGGGCUGCAGACAAGGUUCAAAGACAGCCUAAAUUUUAAAGUACCAGCAUGGGUGCCCAAAGUGUAAGGCUGAAGUCCUUAGAAAGGCUGAAGCAUUCACUCUCUAAAUUCCAAAUCAUCAAAUAUAGAUUUUACUUUACUUAGAGCUCUUUCAAAGGGCUCAGUACAAAGUAGUGAAAAAUGUUCAGCACUAGGAGACUAUAGUUAAGAGGUAAACAUGAAUUACAAUCACAGGCUGCCAUAGUACUGUCAGAAUUUCUCUUUACUUUUUCCUCAGUUUCCUGAGCAGGCAGAGAUGAAAGUCAUCCCAAGCAUGACUUGUUAGAAGUAAUGGCUGCUUCACAUAUUUGCUGUCAGAAACAGGGAGAAGACAAAAAUAUGCUGGUUAAAGGCUCAGACAAAGCCAUUUCCUCUACUUGGUCAUACAAGGUGAAAUACUUUGCCAUGCUGGAGUUUCUUCUAUAAUAGCAAUAGGAAUGAGGACUUAAAGAACUUUUUCUAUACAGUGGUUCAUUGGAAUCUCAUGUGAUAACAUGACUACCCAGAGCUGAAAACAAACCUAACAAGGAUUGUAAAACUCAUGGAAAAAAACAGUCUGGAACAGAUCAUCUCAAACAGCAUCUGAACACACCCCUAUUCUGAACUCCCAGCCAAAGCCCAAAUGUCCUGUUCUCAAAGAGAACUGAGCAGCGACAAGAAGUCAGAACAUACCCUGCCUACUCUCCAGACAUCCGUGCAGUGGAAAAACA